AUCUUUCUAGCAUAACGUUAGUGUAAGUGGCUUCCAACUACUUGGUCCUGGUUGAAGACCAGGGAAGGAUA
rnacentral:tRNA from 1 species